GGGCGGGGGGAGAGAAGAAAAAAACUAAAGUCAAAAAAGAUAUCAAAGUAUGUAUGUGCCUUUACCUAAGCUACUAAGCAAACCACAACUACCCAAGAAGACAAUCUUUUAAAUAACUUACAAUCAACUACCUUGAAACCAAACAACAAAAAACUUCUAAGCCUUUCUUUAAAAGCACAAAUUAAAAGAAAAAUUUUUCCACCACGCAAAACCACCCCAACCUAAAGUAAGCUCCAACAAACAGCCACUGCUCUCCCCUCACAAACCCAACCAGUCAGUGCAGCAGAGGUGGCUGUGAGAUUGGUCAGCCAUGGUUUUCUGUCACUGUAGAGAUGGACACAAGACAUACACAUACACCUGUGCAGCGACAGCAAUGGCUUCUUCUUUAUUACAAGUUGUUCUCAAGUUUUUAUACCCCAAGGAAAGUGUGAUCUUAAGUCAUUAGUUACAUCAAAAAAGCUCAGGAUAUUCAAUGGACAAAGCAAUAGCUUAUUGUAUUUUAUGGGUACAAAGCAUUGAAUGUCAACAAUUCAUUGCAAAUGUGUUUACCACAAACUAUGAAGGCAUGCACGCUGCUCACUAAGGCACGUAUCCUCUAACUACAAGUAACCCCGAUGUGUUUAUCAGUUCCCAUGCUAACAGCCUCGCUUUCUUCCUUGCCAUGGAUAAACUCAUACUUUAUUAAUUUCUUCUUCUGCUAACUCAGUUGUUUGCCCUGCAGAACAGCUGCUAAGCCUGUUCACAGUUUUCCCUUCCUGUUAUUCCACAGGCUUAGAGAUGACAUCCAAGAGGAGCUAUUCUGUCACCUUUCUGGGGAUGGAGUGAGGCUGAUAGGCCUGCAGUUUCCUGGCUCCUUCUUGGUGCCCUUUUGGAAGACUAAGAAGUUAAGUGAGACCACUCCUAUUUUGUCUGUACCACCAAUACAGCCUCAGAUAACUUUUAAAUCAAGUCCUUGUGCUCACACAAGCAGACACUGCAUGUUCAAGGCACAAGACCUGAAUGUCUUGAUGGGGAAGGGCUUUACAAUACUUUACAGAAGACAGCAUUUUUCACCUUUGUUUUAUUUGUGUGCGAAAAUGAAGAGCAAUAUUCUGUUGAGAGACUGAAUUAAUAUCAAAAUCAAGCUAAACCAAGCUUUCAAGUUAAGGAACACCAGGCCAGAACCUCCCUGAACAGGGUCAGUUCUCUCUAUACAUUCCCAAGCUUUAAUAGCCUUCACUUGUACAACUGUAGAUUUAUUUUCUACAGGGUUCCCUCCUUGUUCUGUAACGGCAAGCACAGGUGCAAACCUGCUGUUCCCCAACAUUUGAAUGCUCCAUUUUGAAAUCUUAAUUUUUAUUAAUAAAGUAAUAACUACACCUUAACAAGGUACCCAAAAAUACUAGAUUGAAAUCUAUAAAAUGCUGCUGACAGAGCCCUUUUCUGAGUGUAAGUGCAUAAGUAUCCUUAAGACUAGCAAGAGCAUUCCCCAUAUCUCUGGUGGGGAAGGACAAGAUUGAUCUGCGUUGUCAGGCAACCAAUUGCAAACUAAAUAUAACACUUCUAAACGCUUGUGUAUCUCAAAUUCAUUAAACACAGAAACUAGAUAAAAGGGGUUCUGCAAACUCCCCAUACUCUUCUUUCUCCCACAGAGAGAGAGGACCAGCACCUGGAGGAGACUGUGACGUUUCUGGACAGGGACUCACUGCUGACGGCUGCCAUGUGCGACAGCAAGCAGGAGGGCCCUGGUGCCAGGGAGCCAGGUGAGGGCAAGGCCACCCUCCCACAGCCGGGCCCAGGGGCUCCUGUGGCAGGCGUUGUGUGGGGCCCAGAGCAGAGGCAGGGGGAGGCAGGAGCUGCUCAGCCAUGCCGCGGCUGGGAGCCCCAGAUUUAUUUCUGCUUCCAGCACUGCCCUGCUGCUUUGCCUUCAGCAUUAAUUUCACCUCACCCAGCUGAACAUGGCCCAUCCUUUGGCUCUGUGUGGUGCCCCUCAGUGGGCUGUAAGCUCUGCUGGCUCCAGGAUUGUGAUUUCACACUCUGCAGCACUACCAGUGACCACAGCUGUGUCUGUGGGGCUGUCAAAGCCCUUUGGGCCAUGCCCAGGACAAACAGGACAUGAGGGGAUCCCUUCACACGUGCACAGGGAGGAAAAUAAAGUAAUGGACCAGGGAGUAAAGGUAAACAAAAAAUCCUCUUCAGUUACACAUAUGGAACAUUCCUGACACAGAAAAAGCAUUCCACCUGCAGGAGAAAGACUGUCCAAAAGUAUCACACACAGCAAACUCAGGUGGCUGUGUCACCACUGGGGUGUGACCAGGCAGGGCCCACUGGAAGCACAGACUGUUCUGCCAGCACUAAACCAGGGGGAUAUGGGAUGCUGUCAACACACCUCAGGGUACAGAAGAUAAGACUAACGAGUCCCAAGCUUGAGGCCUUUGCAAGACAGGUAAGAAUAAGGGGAAGCAGAGCUGGUGUGCUCAUGGCCAGUCAACUAACUUCUUAUUUUAACAGAAAGAACACAGCGGAGAGUUUUAAUAAUUUGGGAAAGGUCAGCAUCCAGUCCUACCUUCACAAACCUGAGAUGUCAGCACAAAGAACCUCUGAGAACUUUGCCUGUGACUAGAGUGGACACUCCUUUUAGUGUGUUUGAGAUGUCAUGAGCAGCAAGUCAGAGCCAUAUGAAGUAGGAGUCACCCAACAGGAUGUAAUUUUUUUUUUUUUUAAUCGUUUUCUGGAAUUAAUAUGAGCAACCAACUGUAAGAUGGAUUUCAGCUAGAAAUAUCUUUUAAAUUAGAAGCCACAACUGAGCAAAUAGAAGACUGUUUACAAACAUUGAUUAUUUAUUUACAGACACUCCUGCUAAUGGAGUCUUCUCCCUAAAAAAAAUGAGAGAAACUUAAAAGAAUAGCACAAUUUUCUGUAAUGAGCAUAUCAGACACUUUGAAGGUUAAAAUGUAUUCCAGGCUAGAAUAAAAGUAACACAUGAAGGGUCAUGGGUCAGCUAACUAGAAGACAUGUGCAUCAAUGCCACUAGUCCCAUCAUUAAGUACACACUGUAGCUAGGAAUUAAGGUAAUAGAAUUUUUAAAAAACUUCAGAUUGCUCCUCUUGAAUUUUUUUUUAAACAAAUCCAUACAUUUAAAAAGUCAGUUCAUUAAGAAAAGUGAGUCUUCACAUCAGGAAAGUUAAAGAUUUAAAUAGAAAAGGCCCCAGCAGGAAUAGCCCCAGUGGAUGGUUUUAAACACAGCACAGAGAAAGAGAGGGGAGAAAAAAAGCCAUUAACAGCUUUAGGGUCUUCCAGUACAUUCUCCUCUUUAAAUGCUGAAAAAUAAGCACAAGGAAAGAAACAUGGAAAAGCUCACAAAGUCUGUGCUAGUCUCAGUCAAGAAUAAGAGAGAGAUUCAAUGGAAUUCUGGAUUUUUAUGAAUAAUUUACAUCAGCCUUAGCAGAGUAUGGUUUUGUUUCUUUUUCAGAUUUAAUAGGUUUCUGACAGACAGCCUCAGGAAACCUUUAAAAAAUCAGAACUUUGAUUACAUUACUGUCAAUAUUUUAGGUUUAAAACACAGAUGUGGGAGCUCACUCAUCCUUGCCACAAACGCAUACCUCAAUUUAAACUGCACUGUCGACAUUGCAAUAUUGCUUCUAAGAAGCAGCACACCAACAGGAUAACUUUCAAUCUCUAAGAUUUCUAUAUAUACACACAAUUUUAGACAGAAUUUAUUUUCAAUUUCUAAUCCACUUUAAUUCAAAGACAGUUUGGUGAUUUCAAUAGGAGCAAGAUCAGAUAAAACAGAUAAAAUAUAAUCAAGGUGUGUGAUUAUAUCACUUAGUGCUUCUUUUCAGCUGUAGAUUUAUGCUACAGUGAGAGAUGAAACAAUCCCCUUUAAAACACUCUAGAACCAAAGCUACAGCAUGACUGCCUGUUCUCAGCAGCUCAAAGAAGAGGACAUCCAGAAAUCAAACUAAAACCAAAAGACUUAGACUUCCAGUUUGCAAUUUCCUCUGUAAAGAAGUCAGAGAAUGCCUUUAAGUGGAGUAUCUAACUAACUUCUGAGUGCUUAGACUGCAGAUUAAUCCUGUAUCUCAAAUCAAUUUACUUAAGGGCAUUAAAAUGCUUUGAAAGAAAAAUUUUUAUACUAACAGUCUUAUCAUUGCCCAGUGCCUUGUGCCAGUGAGCGUGAGGAAAUGAACAUUUUAUGUGUGUGGUGUAAACAACUAGUUAAGUGAGACCACUCCUAUUUUGUCUGUACCACCAAUACAGCCUCAGAUAACUUUUAAAUCAAGUCCUUGUGCUCACACAAGCAGACACCACAGGCCACUUUCUUCCUGCCCAGUGCCCAUUUCCACAGUGAACGUUCCAGCAACACCCCUGCAUCCCAGCACAGAUAAAAUGAUGUGCAGAGCACCCCUGCAUCCCAGCACAGAUAAAAUGAUGUGCAGAGCUCAUACAGAGCUCACAGCACAGCUAAAACAAGCACAGAGCAGAAGUAAAACAAUGGGAUUGCAGAGAGCUUCCCAUACUCUGGCCUACCUCAGUGCAUUAAAUCUGCUUCCCACUGUUUAAACAGAACCAUUUGGGAUGGCAGGGGGAAAGCACAUUUUCAACAUCUAUAGUAACAGGGACCUUAAAGCUGCCAAGAUUUCUUUGGUCAUCUCCACACUGGAAGACCUUUCCCAUGCAGCACAAGGCAAUGGCAAUUAGAGUUAGCACCAGGCCAACCUCACAGCACCACAGGAUUGGCAACAAUUUUUCACAACCUGCUCCAGCUCACAGAUGUUUGGCUUUGUGUCCUGUAAAUUUAAAUUUACUUCACCUUGCCAAACUCAACAGUAUCACAUUUUAGAUAAUUUACUGAUAUUUUUAAGCAGUAGAGGAGAAAAUCUGUGCAUUAUACACAUUGACUGCCACUGAAAUAAUACUUUAACCUGAAGAGAAAAAUCUACUUUUAGAAGCAACUGGUUUACACAAAGCAUCUAUUUUCCUUUGGCCUGUGAUCUUCUAACACAGGCACAGAUUUGUUUGACACACACACACAUAUUUACCUAGGUGAAUGCAUCUGGCAGUCAGUGCAGGUUGUCAUAACCCAAACAACAUCAGCACUUUGUGAUGGCAACAAACAGCAGAAAUCAAUCAAGGCAUUGAUAUGUUGAUACAAUUAUUCCUGUUAGUGGCCAGGUGAUUUAUUGGUAAGUGAGAUAUGUAAUCAAAACUGUUAUUAAUUGUAGUGCCAAAGAUUAGAGGAACUGCAUAUAAUGACUUGCUCAAGUUCUGCACGAGCAGCUUUCACUCACAUUUAUGCUUGUUUUCUGUUUUAGACUGUAAGGCUCAUUUAACUUUUUUCCUUCACAAAGCUUUUUUUGUAAUCAAGGGAUGUCUUCAGCUAAUAUUCCAUGGCAAUGGCAUUCUUUGUAAAUUCAUAUGUCAUCACUGUUGCUUGUCAUUUCUAAUGACAGAGAAAUACUUGGUUAUCAUUGAAGAAAAAUUACAGUAUCAUUACUUGUAUUAUUUUUUAAUUUGAUGAAGCUAUUCACUGAGCAAACCUCCCACUUUUCUCAGGCAUUAAUUUUAUCCAGGAACAAAGUUCUUGCCCUUUUUUUUUGCCAGUAUUCUAGCCAGUAAAGCUCAAAUGAUACUAUGAUCUGCUUAUGUCUGUUCUCCAUUUGCUCAAUACUCACUCAUUCCACUUUUCUCCUUCAAGAAGCAGAUAACUUUGUAUUUAGUACAAGUAAUUGUUACAGUAGUGUUCUAAUACAGCCAGGAAAGAACAAUAA